AUUAUACUCCCUUCAUCCCAAAAUCCUUGUCUUGUAUUUGUCUAAAUACGGAUGUAUCAAGUCAUGUUUUAGUAUUAGAUACAUCCGUAUCUAGACGAAUCUAAGACAAGAAUUUUGAGACGUAGGUAGCAUAUU
rfam:Triticum urartu cultivar G1812 contig494207, whole genome shotgun sequence.